GACGAACGCUGGCGGCGUGCUUAACACAUGCAAGUCGAACGGUAAGGCCCCUUCGGGGGUACACGAGUGGCGAACGGGUGAGUAACACGUGAGCAACCUGCCCUUGACACUGGAAUAACAGUUGGAAACAGCUGCUAAUACCGGGUAUGACCUGUCACCGCAUGGUGGUGGGUGGAAAGCCCUGGCGGUCAAGGAUGGGCUCGCGGCCUAUCAGCUAGUUGGUGAGGUAAUGGCUCACCAAGGCUUCGACGGGUAGCCGGCCUGAGAGGGCGACCGGCCACACUGGGACUGAGAUACGGCCCAGACUCCUACGGGAGGCAGCAGUGGGGAAUAUUGCACAAUGGGCGAAAGCCUGAUGCAGCAACGCCGCGUGCGGGAUGACGGCCUUCGGGUUGUAAACCGCUUUCAGUGGGGACGAAGCUAACGUGACGGUACCUACAGAAGAAGCACCGGCCAACUACGUGCCAGCAGCCGCGGUGAUACGUAGGGUGCGAGCGUUGUCCGGAAUUAUUGGGCGUAAAGGGAUUGUAGGCGGUUCGUCGCGUCGAAAGUGAAAACUCAGGGCUCAACCCUGAGCCUGCUUUCGAAACGGGCGGACUAGAGGUAUGCAGGGGAGAACGGAAUUCCUGGUGGAGCGGUGGAAUGCGCAGAUAUCCGGAGGAACACCGGUGGCGAAGGCGGUUCUCUGGGUCUUACCUGACGCUGAGAAGCGAAAGCGUGGGGAGCAAACAGGCUUAGAUACCCUGGUAGUCCACGCCGUAAACGAUGGAUGCCAGACGUGGGGGGGCUUGCCCGUUCGGUGUCACACCUAACGGAUUAAGCGUUCCGCCUGGGGAGUACGGUCGCAAGGUUAAAACUCAAAGGAAUUGACGGGGGCCCGCACAAGCGGUGGAGCAUGUGGUUUAAUUCGAAGCAACGCGCAGAACCUUACCAAGCCUUGACAUGCCCUGACUGGCCUGGAGACAGGUCUUCCCCGCAAGGGGCAGGGACACAGGUGCUGCAUGGCUGUCGUCAGCUCGUGUCGUGAGAUGUUCGGUUAAGUCCGGCAACGAGCGCAACCCACACCCUCAGUUGCCAGCAGGUCAAGCUGGGCACUCUGGGGGAACUGCCCGUGAUAAGCGGGAGGAAGGUGUGGAUGACGUCAAGUCCUCAUGGCCCUUACGGGUUGGGCUACACACGUGCUACAAUGGUGGUGACAGAGGGUUUAUCCCCAAAAGCCAUCUCAGUUCGGAUUGUCGUCUGCAACUCGACGGCAUGAAGUCGGAAUCGCUAGUAAUCGCGCAUCAGCUCGGCGCGGUGAAUACGUUCCCGGGCCUUGUACACACCGCCCGUCACACCAUGGGAGUUGGGUUGACCCGAAGACGGUGCGCCGACCUCGCAAGAGGGGGCAGCCGGCCACGGUCAGUUCAGCGACUGGGGUG
rnacentral:rRNA from 1 species